rnacentral:rRNA from 1 species
GUCAAGUCAUCAUGGCCCUUAUGUGUAGGGCUACACACGUGCUACAAUGGACGAUACAGAGGGUUGCCAACCCGCGAGGGGGAGCUAAUCUCAGAAAGUCGUUCUCAGUCCGGAUCGAAGUCUGCAACUCGACUUCGUGAAGUCGGAAUCGCUAGUAAUCGCGAAUCAGCAAUGUCGCGGUGAAUACGUUCCCGGGCCUU